rnacentral:tRNA from 1 species
GUAAAUAUAGUUUAACCAAAACAUUAGAUUGUGAAUCUAAUAAUAGAAGUUUAAACCUUCUUAUUUACC